rnacentral:rRNA from 1 species
GAUGAACGCUGGCGGCGUGCCUAAUACAUGCAAGUCGAGCGAACGGACGAGAAGCUUGCUUCUCUGAUGUUAGCGGCGGACGGGUGAGUAACACGUGGAUAACCUACCUAUAAGACUGGGAUAACUUCGGGAAACCGGAGCUAAUACCGGAUAAUAUUUUGAACCGCAUGGUUCAAAAGUGAAAGACGGUCUUGCUGUCACUUAUAGAUGGAUCCGCGCUGCAUUAGCUAGUUGGUAAGGUAACGGCUUACCAAGGCAACGAUGCAUAGCCGACCUGAGAGGGUGAUCGGCCACACUGGAACUGAGACACGGUCCAGACUCCUACGGGAGGCAGCAGUAGGGAAUCUUCCGCAAUGGGCGAAAGCCUGACGGAGCAACGCCGCGUGAGUGAUGAAGGUCUUCGGAUCGUAAAACUCUGUUAUUAGGGAAGAACAUAUGUGUAAGUAACUGUGCACAUCUUGACGGUACCUAAUCAGAAAGCCACGGCUAACUACGUGCCAGCAGCCGCGGGUAUACGUAAGUGGCAAGCGUUAUCCGGAAUUAUUGGGCGUAAAGCGCGCGUAGGCGGUUUUUUAAGUCUGAUGUGAAAGCCCACGGCUCAACCGUGGAGGGUCAUUGGAAACUGGAAAACUUGAGUGCAGAAGAGGAAAGUGGAAUUCCAUGUGUAGCGGUGAAAUGCGCAGAGAUAUGGAGGAACACCAGUGGCGAAGGCGACUUUCUGGUCUGUAACUGACGCUGAUGUGCGAAAGCGUGGGGAUCAAACAGGAUUAGAUACCCUGGUAGUCCACGCCGUAAACGAUGAGUGCUAAGUGUUAGGGGGUUUCCGCCCCUUAGUGCUGCAGCUAACGCAUUAAGCACUCCGCCUGGGGAGUACGACCGCAAGGUUGAAACUCAAAGGAAUUGACGGGGACCUGCACAAGCGGUGGAGCAUGUGGUUUAAUUCGAAGCAACGCGAAGAACCUUACCAAAUCUUGACAUCCUUUGACAACUCUAGAGAUAGAGCCUUCCCCUUCGGGGGACAAAGUGACAGGUGGUGCAUGGUUGUCGUCAGCUCGUGUCGUGAGAUGUUGGGUUAAGUCCCGCAACGAGCGCAACCCUUAAGCUUAGUUGCCAUCAUUAAGUUGGGCACUCUAAGUUGACUGCCGGUGACAAACCGGAGGAAGGUGGGGAUGACGUCAAAUCAUCAUGCCCCUUAUGAUUUGGGCUACACACGUGCUACAAUGGACAAUACAAAGGGCAGCGAAACCGCGAGGUCAAGCAAAUCCCAUAAAGUUGUUCUCAGUUCGGAUUGUAGUCUGCAACUCGACUACAUGAAGCUGGAAUCGCUAGUAAUCGUAGAUCAGCAUGCUACGGUGAAUACGUUCCCGGGUCU